GAUGAACGCUAGCGGCAGGCUUAAUACAUGCAAGUCGAACGGUAGGUCGGAUAGCAAUAUUUGACUGAGAGUGACGUACGGGUGCGUAACACGUAUGCAACCUACCCAAAACAGGAGUAUAGCUCGGGGAAACCCGAAUUAAUCCUUCAUAGUAUCUAGGAGUGGCAUCGCUUUUAGAUUAAAACUUCGGUGGUUUUGGAUGGGCAUGCGUCUGAUUAGUUAGUUGGCGGGGUAACGGCCCACCAAGACGAUGAUCAGUAGGGGAACUGAGAGGUUGAUCCCCCACACUGGCACUGAGAUACGGGCCAGACUCCUACGGGAGGCAGCAGUAGGGAAUAUUGGUCAAUGGGUGAGAGCCUGAACCAGCCAUGCCGCGUGCAGGAAGACGGCCUUCUGGGUUGUAAACUGCUUUUGCCAGGGGAUAAAAAAGCUUUGCGAAGCAAAUUGAAGGUACCUGGUGAAUAAGCCACGGCUAACUACGUGCCAGCAGCCGCGGUAAUACGUAGGUGGCAAGCGUUGUCCGGAUUUAUUGGGUUUAAAGGGUGCGUAGGCGGCUUUGUAAGUCAGUGGUGAAAUAUGUCAGCUUAACUGAGAGGGUGCCAUUGAUACUGCAGAGC
rnacentral:rRNA from 1 species